rnacentral:lncRNA from 1 species
UAUGAUCCAGGCCCUCCAGGCACAAAUGGAUUAUGACAAAAAGGUAUCGCGGGCCAGUUACAGAAUGAAGUCGACAUGAGGUGGAGAUGUCCCUUUUGAAGGACCAGAACAAAAAUCUACAGCAGCGGCUCGAUGGGCGUGAGCAAGAAGAACAAUCCCAAGCACCACCACCAACCCGUUGAAUCAAGUGUGUUCAAACUUUAAAGAAUCCAAAUCCUUUAAGUUUGAUGGAAGGCUUGAUGUGCUUGUUGUUGAUGAGGUGUUUU